rnacentral:rRNA from 1 species
GUUUAUCAAAAACAUGUCUUUUUGAUUAAUAAUUUAAAGUCGGGCCUGCCCUAUGAUAUAAAUUUAAUGGCCGCGGUAUAUUGACCGUGCAAAGGUAGCAUAAUCAUUAGUUUUUUAAUUUGAAGCUGGCAUGAAAGGUUUGACGAGAAAAUAGCUGUCUUGUUUAAAUUAAAUUAGAAAUUAAUUUUUGAGUUAAAAAGCUUAACUUUUUUUUAGGGACGAGAAGACCCUAUAGAGCUUUAUAAUUAUUUUUUUUUUGAAAGUUAGGUUAGUUUAUGUGAUUUGAUAAUAAUUAUUUUAUUGGGGUGAUAAGGAAAUUAUUUAAACUUUUUUAUUUAUUUUUACAAUGAUUUUUGUAGUUUUUGAUCCAUAUUAUUUUAUGAUUAGUAGAUUAAGUUACCUUAGGGAUAACAGCGUAAUUUUAUCGGAGAGUUCUUAUUAAUGAUAAAGAUUGCGACCUCGAUGUUGGAUUAAAAUUUAUUUUUGGUGUAGUAGCUAGAAAAUUAGGUCUGUUCCGCCUUUAUAAUUUUACAUGAUCUGAGUUCAAACCGG